GAUAAACGCUGGCGGCGUGCCUAAUACAUGCAAGUCGAUCGCUGGAAUUCAAGCUUGCUUGAAUGAAGGAGAGGCGAACGGGUGAGUAAUACAUAAGCAACCUGCCCACGAAGACUGGGAUAAUUUCUGGAAACGGGAACUAAUACCGGAUAGGUAACGGAGGCGCAUGCCUUUGUUAUUAAAGAUGAGAAGCACUGGUGGAUGGGCUUAUGGCGCAUUAGUUAGUUGGUGAGGUAACGGCCCACCAAGACGAUGAUGCGUAGCCGGCCUGAGAGGGUGAACGGCCACAUUGGGACUGAGACACGGCCCAGACUCC
rnacentral:rRNA from 1 species